CAAAAGAGUCCUGAGUGACGCUCUGGCCAAAAACUGCAUUAUCUCUUAGGUGGCCCCAAAUGCUUAAGGUCGCUUUACAAGUUCAAAAGAAAAAGGAGGUGAGAGAAGCUUUUGUCUAAUUCCUUUUGCCUGACUCUUCCUUCCUCUGAGUCUUCUGGGAAGUCAGAUUUGGCUCCAAGGCCAAAGGAUGUCUUUGGGCAACAGCACUCAGAACAGUACAACUCCGGCAGGAUGCUCUACACAUUUCGCUGUUCGGAAUCCGUGAAUUCAGAGCGGCGUAAAGGUGCGCGAGGAGGAGUUAUGCCAUCUGUCUCAUAUAACUAGAAGAAAACUUGGCAUCCACAUUCACCCAGAAUGACCAUCAGUUCUCAGAACAUCUUAUUUUCUCUUUGCCAAGAAUAGAGUGACAACUGAUUUCAAAGUCUCAGUGACGCUGUUCCAGGUCAGCAGGCAACUUUCUUCCACCUGAUGAUCCAGGGAUUCAGGCUCCUUCUAUCUUGAGUUCCUGCUGUACUCUUCUACUUGGCAGAAUCUUCUGCCUCAAGCUGCCCAAGAGGUGAAAGAGUGAAGAAGGCAUACCUGCUUGUUGAAACGCCCAGACCAGAAGCAACACCUGUCACUUCUACUUACAUUCAACCACUUCUCUUGGAGCCCGGAAGCACCAAUUUAUGUCCCACUACCCUGAGGCCACCAUGCAGUAAGGAAGCCCAAGCCAGCCAAACAGAGAGGUCCUGUGGCGAAACAGAUGCCCAACAGAUGCCCAGCUAUGGUAGCCAUCCCAGCCCAAGUGCCUAACCCUCAAGUGAAGAAGUCUUUCACACGACUCCAGCCUCAGAAGCCAUUUGACUACACUGCCUGAUCGACCCCAAUAAGAAAUCCCAGAUGAACGCGUUGACUCCUACAACCAACCACA